rnacentral:misc_RNA from 1 species
UCUCCGUAGGUGAACCUGCGGAGGGAUCAUUACAGAGUUCAUGCCCUACCGGGUAGAUCUCCCACCCUAUGUUAUUAUUACUUUGUUGCUUUGGCGGGCCGUUAGGCUCCGGCCCGACUACCGGCCCCGGCUGGUAAGCGCCCGCCAGAGGACCCAAAACCCUGAAUAUUAGUGUCGUCUGAGUACUAUAUAAUAGUUAAAACUUUCAACAACGGAUCUCUUGGUUCUGGCAUCGAUGAAGAACACAGC